rnacentral:lncRNA from 1 species
AAAAUUGCGUAUGACAAAGAAGUUUGUAUAUCUUCACAAGACAGUAUUUCAAUAAAUUUACUGUCCAUAUCAAGAGUAUCAAACCCAUCAAUUAAAGUUCUAGCUUUUGCAAACAGUUCAAACCUAAUAUCGUCAUAUCAUGGGCAAAACAACAAAAAAUGUUUUUCACUUUCAAAAUCGUUCCUAUUACAUAGUCGGCACAGUCUUUCAUCUACUGGUGUUCGCGGUCGGGC